UUAUAUGUCUACUAAGGCCUUCUAAUUCAUCUCUACCAAUCUAGCCUCCUAUCUGUAUCAGUUUUCUAUGGCUACUGAAAAAUUUAUUCUCUCAGUUCUAGAAGCAAGAAGUCUGUGUUCAUUUCAGUGGACUGAAAUCAAGGCACUAAGACUGUGUUCCCUCCAUAGGCUCUGGGGGAGAAUUCAUUCUCUUCCUCUUCUGCUUUUAGUGGUUCUUAGUAUAUCUUGGCUUGUGACUAUAUCACUCAGUGUCUGUCUCCAUGGUUACAAUGCCUUACCUUCAUCUGUGUUGUCAAAUCUUUGCAUAUCCCUCUCAUAAGUAUGUAUAUGAUUGUUUU